AUACAGUGUAGUACAGAACACCCAAAAAUCAUCACAGGGAUUCAUGAACUCACUUUCGAAUGGAAGAAAUGUGUUGUUCAAUUGGCAUUAACCCGGGGAAGGGGAGACCGAGGAGGAAAUGGCGACCAAGAGAAGUGUGGGCACCCUGGGCCACAAGGACCUCAGGGGCAAAAGGUGUUCCUUCGUGCCGAUCUGAACAUUCUGCUGGACGACGGCCGGAACAUCACCGAGGACAACCGCAUCCGUGCCUCCGUGCCGUCCGUGCCGUCCCUCAAGUUCCUCAUGGGGAAGGGCGCCAAGGUCAUCCUAGCCAACCAUCUGUCCUCUGUCCAGUUCAUG
rnacentral:rRNA from 1 species